AAAUUGAAGAGUUUGAUCAUGGCUCAGAUUGAACGCUGGCGGCAGGCCUAACACAUGCAAGUCGAACGGUAGCACAGAGAGCUUGCUCUCGGGUGACGAGUGGCGGACGGGUGAGUAAUGUCUGGGAAACUGCCUGGUGGAGGGGGAUAACUACUGGAAACGGUAGCUAAUACCGCAUAACGUCGCAAGACCAAAGAGGGGGACCUUCGGGCCUCUUGCCAUCAGAUGUGCCCAGAUGGGAUUAGCUAGUAGGUGGGGUAACGGCUCACCUAGGCGACGAUCCCUAGCUGGUCUGAGAGGAUGACCAGCCACACUGGAACUGAGACACGGUCCAGACUCCUACGGGAGGCAGCAGUGGGGAAUAUUGCACAAUGGGCGCAAGCCUGAUGCAGCCAUGCCGCGUGUAUGAAGAAGGCCUUCGGGUUGUAAAG
rnacentral:rRNA from 1 species